GGAUGUGAGGGUGAUCUGGCUGCAAUAUCUGUCAUCCCAUUGAUCGCCAGGGUUGAUUCAGCUAGGCAGGUGUUCCCUUCCUUCCUCACCUCUCCAUGUGCAUCCCUCUCAACGCAGCGCGCUCCAUGGAAGAGGAUGACAGUCCCUGAUAGAGGCAUACUGUUCUUCCGUCAAGGGUAUAGGAGUAGUUGCACUCCCCUGCUAGAACAAGCUCCCAAGGUCCAUAAAUAGGUUGUAUUACACGUGUUUAAGGCAAAGUAUAUUACAAUGUUUUUAUAAAAACGUUAUUUGAAUGUUCUCCUUU
rnacentral:snRNA from 1 species